CCUACGGGAGGCAGCAGUGGGGAAUAUUGCACAAUGGGGGAAACCCUGAUGCAGCGACGCCGCGUGAGUGAAGAAGUAAUUCGUUACGUAAAGCUCUUUCAGCAGGGAAGAAAAUGACGGUACCUGAGUAAGAAGCCCCGGCUAACUACGUUCCAGCAGCCGCGGUAAUACGUAGGGGGCAGGCGUUAUCCGGAUUUACUGGGUGUAAAGGGAGCGUAGACGGUGCGACAAGUCUGGAGUGAAAUGCCUCAGCUUAACGGCGGAACUGCCUUGGAGACUGGCGAACUAGAGAGCGGGAGGGGUAGGCGGAAUUCCUAGUGUAGCGGUGAAAUGCGUAGAUAUUAGGAGGAACACCGGUGGCGAAGGCGGCUUACUGGACCAUAACUGACGUUGAGGCUCGAAAGCGUGGGGAGCAAACAGGAUUAGAUACCCCGGUAGUC
rnacentral:rRNA from 1 species